CAGCAGGAAGAGUUCCUGGGUGACAGCUCGCCCCUCCCUGUGCUGGGUGGUCUCUAUCUGAUGAGGUUUAUUCGUUUUUCCCUUCCCGGAGCGAGGCUUUGAUCUCCUCGUAAUUUUCCCGUCCCUCUGGGGGCAGUCCUGGCUUGGAGCAUCAAAGCAGCGGCGAGGGGAGUCCCAGAGAUACCUGACUCCUUUGCAUUUCUUAGAGCGAAGCAACUCUGUGGGAAAAAGAAACAAUAAACGUCCCAGGAGGUGGCCAGCGGAGUUCACUUGUCACGGGCAGAGCAUGGGUGUGCCUGCGCUAUGCUGAGUGCCGCGGCUUCCAACAAAAGAAAUCUGGCAUCUCUGCUCUCCGCGGCCUUUCGUUUAGAGGGAAAGUCCAGAAUAAUUUCUUUGGCCACCAGCCCGAUAUGGGGUCUUGUUCUUAAAAAAAACUUCACCACUCCCAAAAGUUAGUCAGCAAAUAUUUCAAGCUAUCCAGUUUAAUACUGCCCAUAGGGUUGUGAAAAACCCGUUGGGAAGGAUCUGGGAUAUUUUCUCGCUUUGUCUGCCUCCCAGCAGGACGAGCUGUGCCCAACCCACCCGCGGGCAGAUGCUGAGCUAGAAAAUAUGACGGAAUCACAUGCAUCCAGGCUUGAUUUUCCUGAUGUUAUUGCUCAGGCCACUGGCUUUUUUUAGUUCAGUCUUCAGGAUCUCAGGGCUGCUCUGGCAGCACUCGAGCCACUUGUGCCAGUGCCUGGCUGCCUCGGAAGGAACUGCUGCACUGUUCCUGACUCUGGAGUGGUAUUAGUCAACAUGAUCUGCGAAAAGGUGAAGCAACUCCUCUCAGAGCUGGAGUUUAACCCUUGUGAGAAGGUUGCCCAGCAGCUUGGGCAAGAGUCACUUCUGUCUGUGGAAGAUUCUUGUCCUCCUCCUUGCCUGUGCUACAGAGGUCUGUCAGUGGGAGGGCUGGUAGCUCCCAAAUCUGCCUCAAACUGGAGUGUCUGAGUUACCACAGUCAGUUUGAACACAUGGUUUGUGCCAGCUUGGUGGACUCUGUUCUGAAGCAGAUUAGAGAAUGCUCACGUGUUUUCCAGCAGAGUGGAGGAGGAGUUGACCUAGAAGAGGACCAUGACUUGCACUUGCACAAACUCUCUUGCUCCUUGUGCACCUGGCAGCUGUUGCAUGGUAGUUUGAUGGAGAGUACAGAAAAGCUGAAGAAAUCAUAGCAGUGGGGUCCCUAGGAUGGAAGGGACCCUUUGGGAGAUCCCUAAGAUUGCUCAAGACACCUUAAGCAACUAGUUUCAGCUUCUGAAAACCUCCUUUCUAUAUAAAUGAGGGAGUGGGAACUUAUUUCUAGUAGUGUCUGUGUUAAAACAAUCUGAAU